GUUCUGGGGGGGUGUGACGGUGCCACUGCAGUUUUGUUCUCAUGUCUUGAUGAGCAUGAGCGGCUCCUGACGAGGGUGGGUAAGGAUGCUGGGACCGGAGACGCUGCAGGAUUGUAGCUUCAGGAACAAAGGAGGUUUUCUCUCUUGCAAACCCUUCAGGGAGGAAGUUCCAGGCUGGUGACUACUCCAUGAGGUAUUUGGGGAUCCAAGUUCCUUCCAGACCCCUGCUUUGCGUUCCCAAGGACACGGCUGUCCUUGCUGUGGUUGGGACUGGAUUUGGAUGAGUUGCUUUCUGCAUAACACACCUGGACAGACGGAGGCUGGUUCUCCACAAUGGCACCAGGGACUUGGCGGAGACUGGCGGGACAGAGGCACAGCACCAGCUCCCUGGGAGAAGGCAGUGCCUGUGGGAUGGAGGAAAGAAGAGGCACACAGUGCUGAGGUGUGAACUCUAGUUUGCUCUUAGACAUGACACACAUGCUUUCUGGAGGUUUCCACGAAGCACCGUUAAAGCCACCAGUGUGGACAGGUCCUAAGAUCAGGAGACCCAGAACAUACGUGUAUUUGAAAUCCUUCAUGUGCUGCAAUCUCUUCAAAGAGGACCACAAGUCAUCUCUAAUAAUGUUGUCAAAUUAAUUUUUUAAUAAGUGCCAUGGCUUUUUUUUGUGUGUGUGGGGUAGGGCUGGUCUGUGACAGUAAAACAUGCAGUGGCACAGCUGGUGGGUGUUGGUUCUGGGCCCCAGUUAGGCAGUUGUAUGAAAACAAACCAAAAAGUCUCCACAGUGGUAUGAACCGAAACAACUGGAUUACGUGUUUUCAUGUAUUUAACAUAAAUGCACACAUUUGUAUUCUAAACACACAUUUUUCUAUAUGUAAUAAAAUUCACACCUUUAAGUAUUUAGCAUAGAAACAGCUGUGCAGCAUCUUCUCCAUGCCCGCAGACACCCGGAUGUUCUGAGUGGAAACCGCACUGCUGUGGACUUUGUGAGUGGUGAGCCGUGCACAGAUAUGUGCUGUGUUUGCUGUGUCCGCUGACGCAAGCCCUGGUCAGUCCUGUUUCAGGUGGAUGUUUUCCCUUGUAGUUCCCUUCUCUUGUUCUGUUUGUAAGUUCAGUAAACUCGGGACCAAUGGUGAGAGUAGGCGUAGAGGAGCACGGUGUCGGCAAUUAAGGAAAAUCCACCCCAGACCUUGCAGAAGGAGGAGGCGUGUGGAGUUCCGAUGCCUGUGUGAGCCAUGACUGGUGAGGGCCUCUGGGUAGCAGCUCAUCUGGGCUACUUGGAAAUGCAGAUUCCUGGGCACAGACCUGAGAGGCCGUGGAGUGACCACCCUCCAGGGAUUCCGCCCAAACUUGGCCAUCUUGUCUUUUGGCAGAUCACCCGUGCCCAGCUGUCUCAUUGAGAUGCCCGGCUAUCACAGUUAUCUGCACAGCUGGUGUGGGUGUGCCGAUGGGUGUACGGGACUGGCCUGUCUUCCUUUCUCCCCCUGUGAAGUGUUUGAAGGUCUGUUAUCCUACCCUGUUCUCUCCCUGUCCUCAGUGGGCAAGCAGGAGGUUCAUUUUCACUUGCAGAUGAGGAAAAUUCUAAAAGUCUCAUAAAGCAGGGAGGAUCAUCUUCAGAAUCUUCUUUGUUCCAAUCAGCUCUGAUAUUUUCAGUUGGAAAGACUUUUCCUCAAACACUUUGCAUUCGUUCUGUAUGAGAAGUGCUGUAGACUUUCCUGUUGUUUUAGUAAUUAGGAUCUGUUCUGUUGUCCAUUACAAACGUAUAUAUUUUCAUUCUGAGACACGCUGAGUCAGUCUUUGCAGUCCAGAGGGAUUUCAUGUGCAUUCAUAGAAGCUUCCAUCAGAAACCACAUGCCAAAUAGCUGUGGACAUACAACCUGCUUGUGACUUUGGGAAUUGCCAAAGUCAAAUUCUCUCUCGAUUUGAGGCUUUAGGAGCUUUAGAAAUCUUGAAAUUAUAAAACGAACAUGUGACAAAAUUAAGUGUAUGUCAAACAAAAGAGAUACUAUACUGCGGGUUUUAAGGGCUGUGGUACAUUAUUUGGUUAUCUUUAAGGAUGUCGUGUUCCACCCAAGUUACAAAUACAUGAAAUUUAAAUAUAAGGUGACCCCUUCAGAACAUCCUGGAUUUGGUCUUGAUCUUCUGCCCUUGAAAAUGAGAUUCUUUUUUUUUUCUUGAAAAUGUAAUUCUUUUUUUUUUUCUUGAAAAUGUGAUGGUCUUAAACUGUGUGUCUAGACCAUCUCAUCUGAAUUGCUUUGGAAACAUCUGCACGGGCAUCUUUCUAUUCUUGGGUAUAGAGAGAAUGACAUCAUUAUGCUUUAAAAUAGCAAAAGUCCCGUAGAGCAGUUUUUCUUAAACUAAUGAGCUAUUGUUGGAAAUCAAGGUGUGUAGCAAGUUAUAGAAUCUCUCAGUGAAAGUGAUUAUUUAAAAUAGAAAUCUUAGUUUUUAAAAUAAAAUGCUAAUAGAGAACCUUUUGUUCACAAGAAUCUAAAAUGUUACGUCUUUGUUUAGAAUUUAAGGAUAGUAAUUUGCUUCUGAGAUCUUUGUGACUGAGAUUUGAAAUCUUAACUACGGUUUAUCAAUGUUUUAUAUAUAUGCAUGUAUGGAUAUAUAUAUGUAAGGUAUAUAAAAUGAAAAUAAGCAUGCAUGUAUUUACAUUUAUAUACCCUUCUAUAAUGUGUAUACUUCUAGUCACACAGAGGUCUAAGUGACUAUGACUUUAUUUGAUGACCAAGAGGAUAAUUAAAUAAUUUUCCUGCUCUUA